AAUCUACAACGUCAAAUAGAGAGAAAUCGAGAGAGAGAGAGAGAGAGAUAGAGAGAGAGAGAGGAUUAGAUUGGAGGCGACAGACGUUGAGCGGCCAAUGAGCCCCGACGAGGCCAAGCUUCUUGGCGGAGGUGAAGGAGGCAACAUGGAAGACGCAAAGGAGGUUCGUAGUUUGCGGCUUGGGAUUCUUGCUGUGUGGCGCUUCACUUCUUUUUCCUUCUUCCCAUUUGAGGGAGGAUUAAAUGAAAAUUUUGAAUCUCUUUGACCUGGCCUUGGUGAUGGAGUCCGAGUGGUAUCGUGGCUGCUCUUCUGCAUCAUAUAUUGGCUCAGACAGGGUGCUCUAAAUUGAUAUGAUAACAGACCCUGCUGAAGAUAGAAGACAUGAAUCUGUGGUGACACCAUUUGAUAGAGAGGGGUGUCACCACCAUAGCCGAUUGGGCUCUCCGUUGCAAGAGGAGACUCGAAAAUGGUAUUUUCCUCUUCCUCUCCCUGUUCAUAGGAUUUUCCUGCUAUAUUUCCGGUGAAGAAGUUGAACUGAAUGUGUUUACUGUGGCGCCUCAAUUUGAAGAGACAAGCCCCUCGGCGUAUUUGCUUCGGCCCUCAUUUAGUCCAUUCAAAGGCGGUCAUUGUCACCUUCGUUGGUUGUGUUUGGGGUGAGUCUGCAAAUUGUGGUGGUUGUGAAUGUUGGUCUCGUGAUGCUUAUAGUGAGGGGUCAUUCAUUCACUUUUUCCUUUGAACCCCUUUUCAUCUAAUCAUUUCAUAAUUUCUUCUUUUACGGGAUGAUUAUAACCAUUCAGGAAUCUAUGAUCAUGCCAAAUAUAAAUGGACAGAAAUUUGUAUGUAAUGGCGACACAUUACACACCCUUAUCUUUUCCUUUGGCCACAAUCACGUCUGUUCUCAACACACGCAACAAGUCUGAAUCAGUUAUUGAGAUAUCCUUUCUGUUAGAGCUAAUUUACAUAAUAAAGGGAUUUUGGUGGAACCAUCUUGCUCGGUUUACAAUUCAGGAACAGAAUCCACUGCUCAUAUCUCAUAGGUCAAUGUGAAGGCUAUUUACAGAUCUAAGGAAGAAGAAGCUCUCUCAACUAUGAAAAUGAUCCCAACUCACAGUAAACUCCAUCUUCCAAACCAUUUCACUGUUUCAUUAUACUCUUUAUUAUGAUCCCAACUUGCAAUAAAAAGUUAAGGAACAUAAAACAUCACAUAGAAUACUUUACACCGAAAGCUACUCAACAUCAAUGCAUCUUAUUCAGAUGUUAAGGAAAUGUUGUGUAGAAUUGCCACAAUUUCUUAGUGAUAUGCAUGUCAUAGGCAAAAUCAUAACCUCCAUUUGUUUCAUUCUUUUUUUUGUCAAGCAUUUGCUUCAUUCUUUAACUGAACAAACUGAUGCUAAUAGUUGUACAUUACAUGCCCUUCUCUUCAACGUGAAUCGACACACAACAAAUAUGCAUCGCAGGAGCUAUUUGGGUUUAAGAAACUACUCAUGAUUUAUGACACUCCUUAGGCACUAAUAAAUGGAGAAUAUGAUUUCAUAACCCAUGUGUCUUACGCUACUUUAAUUUUCUCUCAUUGAGUGUGAUUGGAAGCUGAAAAAAAGAGAUGUGAAUAAAAGUGUAGUCGGAAUGAAAAUACAAGCGUAGAGGCAAGUGUGCCAUGGUUGAAAAAAUAGUAUGUGAGGAAAAUUUAUCCAAGUGCACACAUGUUCCACAUUCGAAGCACCCUUACUCUCACUUCAACAUCAGUAAGAACUCUUCGUUCUACGCCUUAUUUCUGAAAUUUAAGUUUGCUUUUCUUUCUUGGCUGUAAUUUAAGUUUGUUUUUCUAACUUGGACACUGAUUCUUCUCAAUAUUUUGUUUCAGGCUCCAUCCUUAGCAGUUGGGUCGUUCUUCACUUUUGUCGUAUUCUGUUCCGGUGGAGAUGUUUAUCACGAUCAUCAUCUUAGUCAUCAAUCUUCAUUGAAUAUUAAGAUUAUAACGUCUUCUGGGAGAUCUGUAAAGAGGAGAAGUGUGCAUGACUUCCUAUUCCGACACUCUUCAUUUUCAGUUGCGUCAAAUUAGGAAGGAAAAAAAGAUAGUAUAUGUUUGGAUUACACACAAAGUCAAUAUACUCUUAUUUUUAUUUGGUGCAUCGUUGUUUUGUACUGAAACAUUGUGAACUGAAACAUUGAAAAUGGUUAAGAGUUU